AUUAAAUAAAGACCUCCUAACUUUAUUUAAUAAAAUCCUAAACUUUUUCAUAAUAAUCUCCGACAAAAGUCACUCGUAAGAGUGACUUUUGU
rnacentral:sRNA from 19 species